rnacentral:rRNA from 1 species
AUGUCAUGGAUCAGCAGAGGUCUGAGCUGGGGUCCAGUCAAGGACGUGCCUAUAAUGCAAGGCCGCAUUCGAGAUCUCUUCAAUGGAGAUUUCAGUUUGGUUGCGGUAAUACAGGUUAUGCUGGUCCGUCAAGUCCAGCCUUGCAAACGCCGGCCUCUUCGCCUGUGGGAGUUCAAUCCCAAGGGGCCGUGUGCCGUUCAAAAUUUUCUCGGCCUGACGCACGAGGAGAUGUACAAGUCAUUCUUCGGACCUCAGGUAGAGUGUCCGGAAAUCACCGAGGACAUGGGCCUGAGUAGUAACCGCUCCGCCGAACAGGACUGGCUAACAAAGGCGAAGUUGAUUCGGUGUUCGGCCCCCCUCCCUGAGGGUUUGGAAAAUCCGGUAUUGGAAAAGAUGGUCCAGACCGUACCUUGCCCGGAGCCCUUGAAGGAAGAUACUGUGGAGGAUAAUGCGGGCGGACACGGGCCCCCAACGCUGCCCAUUCUAGCCGAGGGAGCGAGCAUCUCCAUGAGGGAAGGCGACCAGAAGAGGAAAAGGACUGCGCCUGGAGAUUCGGAAGCCGAAGCUUCCAAACGGGAGAAGAAGUCUCCCACAGAGGGUCCUACCUUGGGGGGAGCUGUUGCCGCACAAAGUCCGCGGGGGGAUCAAUUCUCCCACGAGUCUUUAGGCCUUAGCCCCUCUCAAAUGAGCUCAUCUUCGGGGGAUCUUCUUCCGGAGAUGAUGGAGAGCGAAACGCCUCCUCCGGAUUCCUCCGCUCCAAAAGCGGGCGACCCUGAAGUGUCAUCGCGGAGGGCCUCUCAGAGUCCGGUGAGGCCAGAAGAUAAUCCCAUUGACCCCCGAAGCUCCCAGUGUCCGGCUCCCGAAGAGAGCAGACAAAAGAGUCCGGCACCGUCUAGUGUGCGAUUGGAUGUUCUGAGGGAGUUGGUGGGGCGAGCGGCCAUCUCAGAUGAACACCGUGUGAUGAUGAAUACGGUGAUGGAGAGAAUAUUGUCCGCCGAAAGCGGAUUGCAUGAAGCUUUUAUGAGUCUACUGACAGGCUUUGAGGUAUGUAAAAGAAUGUAUGAUAAUCCUGCACAUGCUAGGUGUGCCCUGUGUAGAUAG